CCUCUUUAAUUAAGAGCGCAUUGUUCUGUGGGAAAGGACGGAGCAGGAAGCGCUUCCUGACUCUCUGCCAGCUCAGAUCGGGUUUCUCUGUUAAGCUCCGGGCCAGUAAUGGAAGCGAGUCGAGCUUGUCAACAGAUGCUGCGCCGCGGGAUCCGUGUCUCGUCCGAUGAAGCGCAAAAGCCAUUUCCUGUGGCUUACGGAGGAUAAGAAGUCUUGGAUCCGUGCUGCAUUGUUCUGCUUGAAGAUGCUCUAGUUUGCGAGGAAACCGUCCCGUUGCUUUGGCCCGUUGCCUGGUUACCGCCUCCACCUGGACCAGCAUACGGCCACAGCGUGUCGCGCUCCGUGAGAAACGAGCGGAGCGGCCAAAGCGUCCCGGCGCGCUCGUGCGAGACUUUGCUCAUCUCGGUCCCAGACGGGCGUCUUCAAUCAAAGCACUCUCAUUUAAGUCUUGGCCUCAGAGGUAAAACGAGCUUAUAAAAAACAGACACGCGCAAACAAACACUUCUUGGGCCCUGACAGCGCUGAUUCAUGCCCUGAUCACUCGGCGGAGCCGCCGUAAGUUCGUUUGAAGGGUGAUGAGCGCAUCAGAAUGCAGAGGACGUGACGUCUCAUCUGGAUUCGACCUCGCUAAAUGAGCUGGAAAGCUCUCCAUUCAAUUCUGUCACGGAUCGCUCAAGACCCGACGCGUCGUCUGUUUGAGCUGAAGGAUGAAUAGUCGUUUCGUGUGAGGAUGGGGCUCGCCGCGUCUGAAUGUAGUUUCCUGUAAAUGCGCCAGACUUUUGACCCUCGGAUGUAGGACUCUCUCGUGUGUGUUUUCUCUCUUCGUUAGACUUGCGUCGGCGAUCUCGCAGCCUCCCGGGCUUCAGAAGUCCUUACGACGGAAGAAUGCGUGGAGUAAUUAGUGAUACACUUAGAGAGACUGCAAUUAGCUAAUUAUAUGAGAGAGACACAGAUAGCUCUAAAAACAAACAUCA